rnacentral:tRNA from 2 species
AUUCAAAUAGUUUAUAUAAAACAUUCCAUUUUCAAUGGAAAAAUAAAAUAAUUUUUUUUGAAUA